rnacentral:lncRNA from 1 species
AUGUAAAGGGAAGCGGCAAAAAGUUUAACAUGACUGCAGCCUGUGUUUCUCGCUGAUGUACGUGGUGGAAAGCUGUUGCAGGCAGGUGUCUUACACCUGGUUAUACCGCUCAGUGCAGUGCCUACAGUGGAACUGGUGAGUGCCACACGCGGAGUACGUGACUCCGCACGUGACUUCUGUUCACAGAGGCAGCGUGGCACAGCUCAGACAGAAGCUACUGCUGCUGUGCCCACACCUGGCGAUGUGGCUUUGCAGCCUUGAAUCCUGAAUGAAAUGUCGCUGUUUCUCCAAGGCACACAGAGUGCCGCGUCCCUGCUGCUGUGGUUAGAACGGCCCCUCAACGGGUGAUACCCGUCCAGCACCAUCUGGUGUCUUUCCUUUGUGGGCCCAUGGCAGCAAACAAAGCAUUGCACCACUGACCAGGUCUGCUUCCUUGUUCGUGCAGUGGAACGUUACCACUAGAUGUGGCUGAAUACACUAGGCCUGCUGACUUUGAAAAAUAAAUCAGAAGAAUGAAACAAGAAAGAAGUUUCCAAGAGAAAACUCCAGCCAGUCUCCCCCUGUCUGCCUCACCCUCAACAUUUCAGCAGCAAUAAAGAGCAACAACAGCUUGCAUGUUGUGUCAGCCUGAUGCUGGAGGUGCACGGAACAUGUCUGUAGAUAACUGAAAAGGUUUGCACAUCCCUGUGGUUGCAAAGAUCUCCAGUCAUGGGGAGCUGUCUGUGCUUGGCCAUAUAACUCCGUGGUUAUUGGGAUGUUCUGGUGUGGAGUCAUGCCCAGGAGAGCUUAGCUGUGAGGAACAUCUCCUGCAAAGAUUAGACUGGGAACAUCAGGUUCAGUCCUCUUGCCUUACUGAAAAUUCCCUUCAAGGUCUUUGGCAGCUCAUUUGCUCUUGCCAAGACUUGGUUGCAGAACUGUGUGGCUCAGUUACUACAGCAAUGAGACCAUGAACUCAGGUACGUAUUUUCAUACCCAUAGUGCUGGACAUCCAGAACAGUGCUUGGUGGUCUGCAGAGCCCUGCAACACCUCUGCUGCUCUGGAUCAAGUCUCCCCUUGCCUCACUUGGC